rnacentral:tRNA from 1 species
CGGGGUGUAGCUCAGCUUGGUAGAGCACCUGCUUUGGGAGCAGGAAGUCGCAGGUUCAAAUCCUGUCACCCCGA